rnacentral:lncRNA from 1 species
GGUUGCAAUUGUUUGAUGUUAUUUAAAUGCAUCAUCCAGAAGAUAAAAUAAAUAUUUACUUACACCAACGAAGCAGAAAAAAUAUGCAAUUAACAUGACCAACAAGUACAUGUAUACAGAGAAAUACAAAUCACCCAAACAAGAAUUAAUUUGCUGUUACAAAGUAAUUAAUACCCAAACAUGCGAAUUUAACUCUGGAGCCAAAUGAUCGAAGCAGCAAGCGGUUGCGAAAGCACCAGCCGGUGAUCGAUGGUAUCGUGUCGUAUCAUAUCAUAUCAUAUGUCAGUGAUCAUGUAUCUUUGUUGUCCCUGCAAUCCUGCUGGGGCGAGCAGCCACGCGUCCAUUUGUUGCCGGAGGCGGCGGGCUGGUUGAGCUGCGGCGUUCCGGGGAUGUGGUCGCGGUUCAUGACCGGGUAUUUGAUCACCUGAGCGACGACGGCGGCGGCGUCCUGCUGGACGACGGCGCUGAGGACGAUCAGGGCUGCCACCACGGACACCGACGACAGCCCGGCGAUGCUCACCUUCAGCCUAGCUUUGGCCAUGGCGUUUGUGGAUUGGUGAUUAAUUGGUUGAUUAAUUACUGCCUCCAAGCUAGGCUAACUGAUUAUUAAUUAAUUUAUGGUGUAGCAACUGGCAUAUAUAUGCCAAAAUAUGUUUUAGGUGCAUGUGCUAUUAAUUGCAGGCAUAGCAAGAAUCUAAGAAUUGCA